GAAAAGAUUGAAGAGUUCAAAAAAUUUGAAGAAUUCUCUACAAGUCACCCUCAACAUUUAAGGUGCUCUUCAAACAUCUAAGGGCCUCCACUAUGGGGGGUUCCCAAAUCUAUGUGUCAUGCUUUGGAACCGGUAGCACCAUAGUGGAGAAGAAUAAAUGGGGUACUACAAAGGAAAUGGGUACCAGCAGUGGGAGUCGGUUCUUGGCUGAUGCGGUGAGGUCCACAAUGCUUUGGGCGACGCGCGAGUGGAGAGAAACUCACCCUCAACACGCACAACUGGAGCCGGCUGAGCAGAAAGGCAGCUCCCCACAAUGCUUUUGUUUUUUUUUUCCCCCUUCUUGUUUCAAUUGUGCAUGUAUUCUCUUUUUUUGUGUGUAUUUAAAUUUGUGUUUUUUAAUUUUAGUUGUGUGUUGUAAGAAAUUAAUUUUCAAUAAAAUGUGCGUUUGAAUUUUAA
rnacentral:lncRNA from 1 species